rnacentral:rRNA from 1 species
UGGGGAAUUUUGGACAAUGGGCGAAAGCCUGAUCCAGCAAUGCCGCGUGUGUGAAGAAGGCCUUCGGGUUGUAAAGCACUUUUUGUCCGGAAAGAAAUCCUUGGCUCUAAUACAGUCGGGGGAUGACGGUACCGGAAGAAUAAGCACCGGCUAACUACGUGCCAGCAGCCGCGGUAAUACGUAGGGUGCAAGCGUUAAUCGGAAUUACUGGGCGUAAAGCGUGCGCAGGCGGUUUGCUAAGACCGAUGUGAAAUCCCCGGGCUCAACCUGGGAACUGCAUUGGUGACUGGCAGGCUAGAGUAUGGCAGAGGGGGGUAGAAUUCCACGUNUAGCAGUGAAAUGCGUAGAGAUGUGGAGGAAUACCGAUGGCGAAGGCAGCCCCCUGGGCCAAUACUGACGCUCAUGCACGAAAGCGUGGGGGAGCAAACAGGAUUAGAUACCCUGGUAGUCCACGCCCUAAACGAUGUCAACUAGUUGUUGGGGAUUCAUUUUCCUUAGUAACGUAGCUAACGCGUGAAGUUGACCGCCUGGGGGAGUACGGUCGCAAGAUUAAAACUUAAAGGAAUUGACGGGGUCAUAGCUGUUUCCU